AUAUUUAUUGGUUGUUUAGUUAUACUAGUGUAAACAUUUUUUAUUACCUAGUAAGAACUGAUAAGGCUAUGAGGAAGAAGAAGAAGAUUAUUUUACAGUAGUACCUUUUGUAUCAGGGAUGAUUUAUAGUAAAAUCAAGUUUAGAUUUCGAAAGUAACCGAGUUAUAAAAUAUUUGAUAAUUCUGAGAAUAAUAAUAUAAAAUAUUUUUUAGAGGUAAAACAUCUUCGUGGUUAAUGAUAUCUAAUUCAAUGAAUAGAGUUAGUUUCUUUUUGUAAAAAAAUAAAGGGGUAAUCUCUUUAUUUUUAUACGUAGACACCUAAGAAAUUGGAAUUAGGCCUUAGAUUAGCCAUAUUUGUAUUUUGUUUUAAAUAAUAUUUGUAGUUUUGUUUUCUUUUCUAUAUAAUUUAAAUUGACCUUAGUUUAAUUUAAAAUUUAUUUUAUAAUGAUUUUAUUAGUACAAUACUUAAGAUACAUAAAUUAACUCGACAUUACUCUAUUGACUGUUUAACAAAGACAUUUUUAUUUAACUAUAUAAUAAGGCCUGCCCGGUGAUUUUAACGGCUGCGGUAUUUUGACUGUGCUAAGGUAGCAAAAUCAUUUGUGCUUUAAUUGGGUACUAGUAUGAAAGGUUACACAGUAGAUUUUUUUUUUUAUAUAUUAUUUUGAAUUUAUAGUUUAAGUAAAAAUUCUUAAAUGUAUAAUUGGGACGAUAAGACCCUAAAAGCUUUAUUUUAAGAAAUAAAGUUAAUUUUGUAAGAUAAAAAUUUAGCUGGGGUAGCUGUUAUGUAAAAUCAUAAUAACAAGAUACUUUGGGUAGAGGUGUCGGAUCCUUUAUAUAAAGAGAAGUUGAUUUAGUUACUUUAGGGAUAACAGCGUAAAAGUUUUAGAGAGGCCUUAUCGAUAAAAUUAUAUGCGACCUCGAUGUUGAAUUUAGAUAUUACAGCAUAGCAGAUUAUGCCAGUAAAAGUUUGUUCAACUUUUAAUUUCUUACAUGAUUUGAGUUCAGACCGGCGUGAGCCAGGUUAGUUUCUAUCUAAUUUUAGACAGGUACUAAAGGUAGUACGAGAGGACCUCUUUAGGUUUAAAUUU
rnacentral:rRNA from 1 species